AUUGAACGCUGGCGGCAGGCUUAACACAUGCAAGUCGAGCGGGGUGAUGGUGCUUGCACUAUCACUUAGCGGCGGACGGGUGAGUAAUGCUUAGGAGUCUGCCUAUUAGUGGGGGACAACAUCUCGAAAGGGAUGCUAAUACCGCAUACGUCCUACGGGAGAAAGCAGGGGAUCACUUGUGACCUUGCGCUAAUAGAUGAGCCUAAGUCGGAUUAGCUAGUUGGUGGGGUAAAGGCCUACCGAGGCGACGAUCUGUAGCGGGUCUGAGAGGAUGAUCCGCCACACUGGGACUGAGACACGGCCCAGACUCCUACGGGAGGCAGCAGUGGGGAAUAUUGGACAAUGGGGGGAACCCUGAUCCAGCCAUGCCGCGUGUGUGAAGAAGGCCUUAUGGUUGUAAAGCACUUUAAGCGAGGAGGAGGCUCUUUUGGUUAAUACCCAAGAUGAGUGGACGUUACUCGCAGAAUAAGCACCGGCUAACUCUGUGCCAGCCGCCGCGGUAA
rnacentral:rRNA from 1 species